rnacentral:rRNA from 1 species
GGGUUGUGAGGUUAAGCGACUAAGCGUACACGGUGGAUGCCCUGGCAGUCAGAGGCGAUGAAGGACGUGCUAAUCUGCGAUAAGCGUCGGUAAGGUGAUAUGAACCGUUAUAACCGGCGAUUUCCGAAUGGGGAAACCCAGUGUGAUUCGUCACACUAUCAUUAACUGAAUCCAUAGGUUAAUGAGGCGAACCGGGGGAACUGAAACAUCUAAGUACCCCGAGGAAAAGAAAUCAACCGAGAUUCCCCCAGUAGCGGCGAGCGAACGGGGAGCAGCCCAGAGCCUGAAUCAGUGUGUGUGUUAGUGGAAGCGUCUGGAAAGGCGUGCGAUACAGGGUGACAGCCCCGUACACAAAAAUGCACAUGCUGUGAGCUCGAUGAGUAGGGCGGGACACGUGGUAUCCUGUCUGAAUAUGGGGGGACCAUCCUCCAAGGCUAAAUACUCCUGACUGACCGAUAGUGAACCAGUACCGUGAGGGAAAGGCGAAAAGAACCCCGGCGAGGGGAGUGAAAAAGAACCUGAAACCGUGUACGUACAAGCAGUGGGAGCACAGAGCAAUCUGUGUGACUGCGUACCUUUUGUAUAAUGGGUCAGCGACUUAUAUUCUGUAGCAAGGUUAACCGAAUAGGGGAGCCGAAGGGAAACCGAGUCUUAACUGGGCGUUAAGUUGCAGGGUAUAGACCCGAAACCCGGUGAUCUAGCCAUGGGCAGGUUGAAGGUUGGGUAACACUAACUGGAGGACCGAACCGACUAAUGUUGAAAAAUUAGCGGAUGACUUGUGGCUGGGGGUGAAAGGCCAAUCAAACCGGGAGAUAGCUGGUUCUCCCCGAAAGCUAUUUAGGUAGCGCCUCGUGAAUUCAUCUCCGGGGGUAGAGCACUGUUUCGGCAAGGGGGUCAUCCCGACUUACCAACCCGAUGCAAACUGCGAAUACCGGAGAAUGUUAUCACGGGAGACACACGGCGGGUGCUAACGUCCGUCGUGAAGAGGGAAACAACCCAGACCGCCAGCUAAGGUCCCAAAGUCAUGGUUAAGUGGGAAACGAUGUGGGAAGGCCCAGACAGCCAGGAUGUUGGCUUAGAAGCAGCCAUCAUUUAAAGAAAGCGUAAUAGCUCACUGGUCGAGUCGGCCUGCGCGGAAGAUGUAACGGGGCUAAACCAUGCACCGAAGCUGCGGCAGCGACGCUUAUGCGUUGUUGGGUAGGGGAGCGUUCUGUAAGCCUGCGAAGGUGUGCUGUGAGGCAUGCUGGAGGUAUCAGAAGUGCGAAUGCUGACAUAAGUAACGAUAAAGCGGGUGAAAAGCCCGCUCGCCGGAAGACCAAGGGUUCCUGUCCAACGUUAAUCGGGGCAGGGUGAGUCGACCCCUAAGGCGAGGCCGAAAGGCGUAGUCGAUGGGAAACAGGUUAAUAUUCCUGUACUUGGUGUUACUGCGAAGGGGGGACGGAGAAGGCUAUGUUGGCCGGGCGACGGUUGUCCCGGUUUAAGCGUGUAGGCUGGUUUUCCAGGCAAAUCCGGAAAAUCAAGGCUGAGGCGUGAUGACGAGGCACUACGGUGCUGAAGCAACAAAUGCCCUGCUUCCAGGAAAAGCCUCUAAGCAUCAGGUAACAUCAAAUCGUACCCCAAACCGACACAGGUGGUCAGGUAGAGAAUACCAAGGCGCUUGAGAGAACUCGGGUGAAGGAACUAGGCAAAAUGGUGCCGUAACUUCGGGAGAAGGCACGCUGAUAUGUAGGUGAAGUCCCUCGCGGAUGGAGCUGAAAUCAGUCGAAGAUACCAGCUGGCUGCAACUGUUUAUUAAAAACACAGCACUGUGCAAACACGAAAGUGGACGUAUACGGUGUGACGCCUGCCCGGUGCCGGAAGGUUAAUUGAUGGGGUCAGCGCAAGCGAAGCUCUUGAUCGAAGCCCCGGUAAACGGCGGCCGUAACUAUAACGGUCCUAAGGUAGCGAAAUUCCUUGUCGGGUAAGUUCCGACCUGCACGAAUGGCGUAAUGAUGGCCAGGCUGUCUCCACCCGAGACUCAGUGAAAUUGAACUCGCUGUGAAGAUGCAGUGUACCCGCGGCAAGACGGAAAGACCCCGUGAACCUUUACUAUAGCUUGACACUGAACAUUGAGCCUUGAUGUGUAGGAUAGGUGGGAGGCUUUGAAGUGUGGACGCCAGUCUGCAUGGAGCCGACCUUGAAAUACCACCCUUUAAUGUUUGAUGUUCUAACGUUGACCCGUGAUCCGGGUUGCGGACAGUGUCUGGUGGGUAGUUUGACUGGGGCGGUCUCCUCCUAAAGAGUAACGGAGGAGCACGAAGGUUGGCUAAUCCUGGUCGGACAUCAGGAGGUUAGUGCAAUGGCAUAAGCCAGCUUGACUGCGAGCGUGACGGCGCGAGCAGGUGCGAAAGCAGGUCAUAGUGAUCCGGUGGUUCUGAAUGGAAGGGCCAUCGCUCAACGGAUAAAAGGUACUCCGGGGAUAACAGGCUGAUACCGCCCAAGAGUUCAUAUCGACGGCGGUGUUUGGCACCUCGAUGUCGGCUCAUCACAUCCUGGGGCUGAAGUAGGUCCCAAGGGUAUGGCUGUUCGCCAUUUAAAGUGGUACGCGAGCUGGGUUUAGAACGUCGUGAGACAGUUCGGUCCCUAUCUGCCGUGGGCGCUGGAGAACUGAGGGGGGCUGCUCCUAGUACGAGAGGACCGGAGUGGACGCAUCACUGGUGUUCGGGUUGUCAUGCCAAUGGCACUGCCCGGUAGCUAAAUGCGGAAGAGAUAAGUGCUGAAAGCAUCUAAGCACGAAACUUGCCCCGAGAUGAGUUCUCCCUGACUCCUUGAGAGUCCUGAAGGAACGUUGAAGACGACGACGUUGAUAGGCCGGGUGUGUAAGCGCAGCGAUGCGUUGAGCUAACCGGUACUAAUGAACCGUGAGGCUUAACCUUACAACGCCGAAGCUGUU